CAAAACAAAACAAAACAAAAGCCUGACCAGAGUUGUCAAUGAAACCAGCACCUCCCAAACUCAAAGCAUCUGAGCAGCGAAAUCCUGUUUUGUUCAAUCGUCCUGAAGGUUAUUACUUCCUGGCAGGGGGGAUUCUGAGCGCUAAUGACAUUAGUCGGUUUGGGCACUCUUAUUUACUGACGGGGUUCAUGGCACUAGAGUUGUCCUCCACUUCUCCUUCCCUCUGGAUUAUGCUCCUUCACCGCUCAUGCCCUCUUCUCAGACGCAAACACAAGGAGACGUAGCGCAUGUCCUGGAAAAGCGCUGGUGCUCCUCACCCCAUCACAGACUGGACCUGGGAGCGGGAAGCCCAGUAGAGACAGAGUCUCACUGUCCCGCCCUCAGGUAGAGUGCCAUAACGUCACACCGCUCACAGCAACCUCUAACUCUUGGGCUUACGUGAUUCUCUUGCCUCAG